AACGAACGCUGGCGGCAUGCCUAACACAUGCAAGUCGAACGAGACCUUCGUGUCGAGUGGCGCACGGGUGCGUAACGCGUGGGAACCUGCCCUUAGGUUCGGAAUAAUUCCCCGAAAGGGGUGCGAAUACCGGAUAAUGUCUUCGUACCAAAGAUUUAUUGCCUUUGGUUGGGCCCGAGUUGUAUUAGAUAGUUGGUAGGGUAACAGCCUACCAAGGCGACGAUCCAUAGCUGGUCUGGGAGCAUGAUCAGCCACACUGGGGCUGAGACACGGACCGGACUCCUACGGAAGGCAGCAGUGGGGACUAUUGGACGCUGGGCGAGAGCAUAAUCCAGCAGUGCCGCGUGAGUGAUGAAGGCCUUAGGGUUGUAAAGCUCUUUUAAACGGGAUGAUAAUGACAGUACCGGGACAAUAAGCUCCGGCUAACUACGUG
rnacentral:rRNA from 1 species